GAUCUACUCUCUCCGUUCGAAAUUACUUGUCGCAGAAAUGGAUGUAUCUAGAACUAAAAUACAUCUAGAUAUAUCCAUUUCUGCGACGAGUAAUUCGGAACGGAGGGAGUAUGAA
rnacentral:pre_miRNA from 1 species